AUGCAAAGAACUUUGAAAAGAGAGUUAAAGAGUACCUGAAAUUGCUGAAAAGGAAGCGAAGGAAACCAGUGCUAGCUUUGUCAUAUUUCUGGAGCCGCUUGCGGUUUUGGCGCUGUGGUUUAGCGUUGUCAGGCUUUGUUGGUGUUGGCCGGAAAUGCGUGUGGCAGGGAGUUGACCUGCUUCCGUUGCGGCUGUGCUGACUGAGGUUGACGAAAUGGUUUUCUUUUUCCCGUCUAGAAACACGGACCAAGGAGUUUAACAUAUGUGCGAGUACAGGGGUGUCAAACCUGUGUGCGCAAUGAAAGUGACAGUGGCUGGAUUCUAUAUUGAUUGUGGAAUGCACAGUCCGCCGGCCUCAAUCCCUCGGGAGAACGGUCUGAGUGUGAGCAUACAUGUUGAGACCCGAAAGAUGGUGAACUAUGCCUGAAUAGGGUGAAGCCAGGGGAAACUCUGGUGGAGGCUCGUAGCGAUUCUGACGUGCAAAUCGAUCGUCAAAUUUGGGUAUAGGGGCGAAAGACUAAUCGAACUAUCUAGUAGCUGGUUCCCUCCGAAAUUUCCCUCAGGAUAGCUGCGAUCGAAUGUUAUCAAUUCUAUCA
rnacentral:rRNA from 1 species